rnacentral:RNase_P_RNA from 1 species
GGCAGCGGGAGGCCGGCUCCCGUGGCGCAAGCCAUGAGGAAAGUCCCCCCACCUGUCGGACAGGUGACCGGGCGCAAGCCCGGGGCGGGAGACCGUCGGCUCUGGAACAGCAACGACACGUCGUUGCCGGACCGAUGAGGUGUGCGAAUCCCGAGCGAGGCUGGUCGUGCCCCACCAGACGGUGUGGCACGCGGCCAAAGCGAGGGAGAGUUAACCCACCGAGGGCAGUCGCGACCCGGUGACUCCGGGGCGCGCAGUUGUGGACCACAUCCGUGCUCCACCCGUGGGCCGCAGACGCCCCACGCAUUCCGUGGGCCGCAAACGCCCCACGCAUUCCGUGGGCCGCAAACGCCCCACGCCGCAAACGCCCCACGCUUCCGGCGACGGACCGAUGGAACGGCGAAACCUCACCGGUGCAAGGCCGCGUCGACAGGUAGUCCGACGCUGCGCGCGAGCGCUGGACGUGGCCGCUCAGCCGAAUGCUGGCCCGAACAGAAGGGGGCUUACUCCCCGCAGCC